GAUGAACGCUGACAGAAUGCUUAACACAUGCAAGUCAACUUGAAUUUGGGUUUUUUAACUUAGAUUUGGGUGGCGGACGGGUGAGUAACGCGUAAAGAACUUGCCUCACAGCUAGGGACAACAUUUGGAAACGAAUGCUAAUACCUGAUAUUAUGAUUAUAAGGCAUCUUAGAAUUAUGAAAGCUAUAUGCGCUGUGAGAGAGCUUUGCGUCCCAUUAGCUAGUUGGAGAGGUAACGGCUCACCAAGGCGAUGAUGGGUAGCCGGCCUGAGAGGGUGAACGGCCACAAGGGGACUGGGACACGGCCCUUACUCCUACGGGAGGCAGCAGUGGGGAAUAUUGGACAAUGGACCAAGAGUCUGAUCCAGCAAUUCUGUGUGCACGAUGACGUUUUUCGGAAUGUAAAGUGCUUUCAGUUGGGAAGAAAAAAAUGACGGUACCAACAGAAGAAGUGACGGCUAAAUACGUG
rnacentral:rRNA from 1 species